rnacentral:rRNA from 1 species
GACGAACGCUCGGCGGCGUCGCUUAACACAUCGACGAAGUCGAGCGGGUAAGGGCCCGUUUCGGGGGUACACGAGCGGCGAACGGGUGAGUAACACGUGGGUGACCUGCCCUUAGCUCUGGGAUAAGCCUGGGAAACUGGGUCUAAUACCGGAUAUGACUCCAUGACGCAUGUUGUGGGGUGGAAAGCCUUGUGCGGCUAGGGAUGGGCCCGCGGCCUAUCAGCUUGUUGGUGGGGUGAUGGCCACCAAGGCGACGACGGGUAGCCGGCUUGAGAGGGCGACCGGCCACACUGGGACUGAGACACGGCCCAGACUCCUACGGGAGGCAGCAGUGGGGAAUCUUGCGCAAUGGGCGAAAGCCUGACGCAGCGACGCCGCGUGGGGAUGACGGCCU